rnacentral:rRNA from 1 species
GAUGAACGCUGGCGGCGUGCCUAAUACAUGCAAGUCGAGCGAACGGACGAGAAGCUUGCUUCUCUGAUGUUAGCGGCGGACGGGUGAGUAACACGUGGAUAACCUACCUAUAAGACUGGGAUAACUUCGGGAAACCGGAGCUAAUACCGGAUAAUAUUUUGAACCGCAUGGUUCAAAAGUGAAAGACGGUCUUGCUGUCACUUAUAGAUGGAUCCGCGCUGCAUUAGCUAGUUGGUAAGGUAACGGCUUACCAAGGCAACGAUGCAUAGCCGACCUGAGAGGGUGAUCGGCCACACUGGAACUGAGACACGGUCCAGACUCCUACGGGAGGCAGCAGUAGGGAAUCUUCCGCAAAGGGCGAAAGCCUGAUGGAGCAACGCCGCGUGAGUGAUGAAGGUCUUCGGAUCGUAAAACUCUGUUAUUAGGGAAGAACAUAUGUGUAAGUAACUGUGCACAUCUUGUCGGUACCUAAUCAGAAAGCCACGGCUAACUACGUG